ACGAACGCUGGCGGCGUGCCUAAUGCAUGCAAGUCGCACGCAGCCGCUUCGGCGGCUGAGUGGCGCACGGCUGAGGAGCACGUGAGUACCUGCCCCCCUGUGGGGGAUAACAGCGCGAAAGCGCUGCUAAUCCCGCAUACGAUCCCGCAAGGGAUGAAAGCGGCGACGCGCAGGAGGAGGGGCUUGCGGCCCAUCAGGUAGUCGGUGGGGUAACGGCCUACCGAGCCGAUGACGGGUAGCUGGUCUGUGAGGACAACCAGCCAGACUGGGACUGAGAGACGGCCCAGACUCCUACGGGAGGCAGCAGCAAGGAAUUUUCCCCAAUGGGCGCAAGCCUGAGGGAGCACGCCGCGUGCAGGACGACGGCUUUCGGGUUGUAAACUGCUUUUGGGGGGGGACGAUACUGACGGUACCCCCCCGAAUAAGCCCCGGCUAACUCUGUGCCAGCAGCCGCGGGUAAUACAGAGGGGGCAAGCGUUGUCCGGACUUACUGGGCGUAAAGGGCGCGCAGGCGGUCACGGGCGUCGGUGCUGAAAGUGCGCCGCUUAACGGCGCAAUGCGUGCCGAUACGCCCGUGACUGGAGCGCGGGCGAGGGUGGUGGAAUUGCCGGUGUAGUGGUGAUAUGCGUAGAUAUCGGCAGGAAACACCUGUGGCGUAGGCGGCCACCUAGCCCGCUGCUGACGCUGAGGCGCGACAGCGUGGGGAGCGAACUGGAUUAGAUACCCAGGUAGUCCACGCCGUAAACGAUGCCGACUCGGUAUCCGGCGGCAUUACGCCGCGGGGUGCCCCAGCUUACGCGAUAAGUCGGCCGCCUGGGAACUACGAGCGCAAGCUUAAAACUCAAAGGAAUUGACGGGGGCCCGCACAAGCAGCGGAGCGUGUGGUUUGAUUCGACGCAACGCGCAGAACCUUACCUAGCCUUGACAUGUGCCUGCAAGCCCGUGAAAGCGGGUCGCCUGCGAGGGUGGCACACCGGUGCUGCACGGCUGUCGUCAGCUCGUGUCGUGAGAUGUUGGGUUAAGUCCCGCAACGAGCGCAACCCCUACGGCCAGUUACCUGUGUCUGGCCGAACUGCCCAUUUGGGAGGAAGGUGGGGAUGAUGUCAAGUCCGCAUGGCCCUUACGGCUAGGGCGACACACACGCUACAAUGGCGCCGACAAUGCGCAGCGACGCAGCAAUGCGAAGCGAAUCGCACAAACGGCGUCCCAGUGCAGAUUGGGGCUGCAACUCGCCCCCAUGAAGGCGGAGUUGCUAGUAACCGCGUAUCAGCCAUGGCGCGGUGAAUACGUACCCGGGCCUUGUACACACCGCCCGUCACGUCAUGGGAGUUGCCAAGGCCUGAAGUCCGUGGGCCAACCCUUCGGGGGGGCAGCGGCCGAAGGCCGGGGGAGCGACUGGGACG
rnacentral:rRNA from 1 species